rnacentral:lncRNA from 1 species
UGAGGUUCUAUACAGUGUUUGGAUCCUACGGCCACUUCAAAGCUCUACUCCGGUUAUAAACUGUGGCUUUUGUUGUUUGGUUUUUCCUGAUUUUAAUGAUGUCUGUUUUGUGUGUGUCGGUUUCUAUGUGUAUGUGUGUGUCUCGGUAUGUCUGUUUCCUCUGACUUUGUGUGUUGUGUUGACUAUGGCCUUUUGGGUUCCGACAAGGGGCAGAGAGGACAGAGCUGUUUGACUGAAGAGAGGGAGGGAGGACACAGCUGGGGACGAUGGUGGAGGAGAGGACAAUGAACCCUCCCUUCAUCAUCCAGGCCUUCCGCUUCAGGGUGUCAGAGUCCACCGUGUCCCACGUCUGGAGCACCUGGAUGGAGCUGCUGCAGAGACGGAUGAGACAGGGAGAGGGUUGAAAAGGGAGUAUGCGGUGGGGAGAGUAGGGAGGGUAACCUCUUGGUGGAAGGAGGGGGGCAUAGAGAGGUAGAGGUGUGGAGAGAGUGGGGCCAAAAAUAAAUACAAAAUACAAAGAAAGUUUGAAUGAAACCUAGGUAACAUCAGAUUACAUACUGUACCUGCCCCAUAGCAUGACCUUGACUCUUAUCAGUGAAUAAUAAUUAGAAUGUCGGUAGAAUCGUGAGAUAAUGCUGGUUUUAGGUUGUAUUUUGUAGUCCACCAAAACAAAGCCAUUGUUUUGACUACUCAGGAUCUCAGACUUAACGAACCACGUGAUUGUUAGAGAUAACUGUUAUCGGUAGGAGUUUUAUAUUUCCUGUGCUUUUCACCUAUACUGUUAUUGUGACCUAUAAGCCUUGAGCACCCUCAUUCCCUCUCCCCACCAGAUCCCCAGCCAGCGUUACAUCACUCUUUCCAGCCCCACCUAGCCAACGGCUCUAGGUUCUCGAGUGUGCCGACACCCUCUCCGACGUCCACUCCAGCCUCCGCAAGCGAGGGGACACACCCAACCCCUCCUACCAGGCCCUACCACUACCUCUGCAGCGAACGUGUCUGCUGUCUGAUGGACAAGGGGAUGGCGUUCCAUUACCUGAGGGUGGUGCACCCUGCCCGGAUCGGUGUGCUGCUUCCUGGCCUGCCUCCUGCACCGUCCUCAGGGAAUCAAAUAGGUCCAAGACCAAGGGCCUCUGUGACAACUAUCUCUGCGAGCAGGCCCAGACUAACUACCUCCACGAGGAGGCCCAAGCUAACCACCUACAUGUGAGGAGGCCCAGACUUCUAUCUCCACAUGGAGACCUUUGUCAACAACCUCCUUGAGGAGAACCAUGUUGACCUCGUCGAGGAGGCCCCUGUUUACAACUUCAGUGAGAAAGCCUGUCUACUACCUCUGCGAGGAGGCCCAUGUCAACAACGUUCUACAUUGGGGAGUAGUUUGGGACUCUUGAUUGAGAAAGGACAACUAAAAGUUGCAUGGGCCUCCUGAAAGAUGUUUGAGUUAUUUUUAUUGUUUAUCUUUUCUGAAUUGUGUACAAUGAAUUGUUUAUUACUACUGUUAAGACAAAAUGGAAUUGACUUAAUAACAAGACACCUUGUUCCAAAGUUCAUAAUAAAACUUUUUG